ensembl:lncRNA
GCUGCUUAUGCCCACUGGGCUUUUCUCUUGGCUGUGUGUUCCUGGUCUCCGAGCCAUUCUGUGGCAAGGGGUUGGAGCUCGGUGAUCUUUGAGGUCUCUUCCAACCUAAGCCAUUCUGUGAUUCUGUGAUAUGAUUCUUUUGGCUUCAUGUUAUGGGUAUAGGCAACUACCCGUGAAGCGAUCACUGGUAUUGAAAGCUCUCAGCUCAAACUUUCUUUCUGGUCUACUGCUUGUCCACAUUUCUCAUCAUGACUAUAUGAUCCUUUAGAAAAUAAGGAAGGAACCAGAAGCCCCAGGGUGGCAUUACCUUUACAUUUCAGAUCCAUGGAACCAUUUGAGUUGGAAGGUACCCUUAAAGGCCAUCUGGCCCAACCCCCUGUACUGAACAGGGGCACCUACAGCUCCAUCAGGCGCUCAGAGCCCCGUCCAGCCUGACCUUGGGUAUCUCCAGGGACGAGGCACCACCACCUCUCUGGGCAACCUGUGCCAGUGCCUCACUACCCCUCAGUGUAGAAAACUUCUUCCUUAUAUCCAGUCUUAAUCUCCCCUCUUAUAGUUUGAAACCAUUUCCCCUUGUCAUAUCACAUCAGACCCUGCUAAAAAGUCCAUCCUCUUCUUUCUUACAGCCCCCUUUAGGUACUGCUUUCCAGGGGUCAGCAUCUCUUGCUGGGAAGAUGACACAUGGGGUCCCUUUUUUGCCUCUGCCCUCCCUUUGCCACAAGUGGCAAUCUUACCCUCUUUUUCCAUUCGCUCCAUGUGCUCUCCUCCUUGCAGUGGAGACGGUUUGUUACUGACUGCACGGAGGCACUGCAAGGCUUAGCUGGGAGUCGGAAAAACUUUUCCAGAUCUUUAGUCAAGUUGUUUCAUGCUGAGUGCAGAACACUGCUGUUUUCUGUUUGCUUGUUGUUUUGGUUUUUUUUUUCCAGAGUGAAUUGGAAACAUGGGCUUUCCCCAGAGGAAGCAGGUCACUCUAAAAUAAGAUAAACAACACCUAUACUAAUUGUACUGGAAAAUAGAGCAGCUUCUGCUAGUCUGCU